rnacentral:rRNA from 1 species
CAGCAGCCGCGGUAAAACGAAGGGUGCAAGCGUUAAUCGGAAUUACUGGGCGUAAAGCGUGCGUAGGCGGUGAGUUAAGUCUGCUGUGAAAUCCCCGGGCUCAACCUGGGAAUGGCAGUGGAUACUGGCUCGCUAGAGUGUGUCAGAGGAUGGUGGAAUUCCCGGUGUAGCGGUGAAAUGCGUAGAGAUCGGGAGGAACAUCAGUGGCGAAGGCGGCCAUCUGGGACAACACUGACGCUGAGGCACGAAAGCGUGGGGAGCAAACAGGAUUAGAUACCCGGGUAGUCCCUGUCUCUUAUAC